rnacentral:lncRNA from 1 species
GAAAUUGAUGAUAAAAACUUGGAGAAGACUGCUGUAUUGGAUUACAGGUUCAUAUGUUCUAAGCAAGAGAGAAAAGCCUAAAAUCUAUUUCUCUGUCAUGAUACUGCUCGAAGGGUCAGAUGAAAGUGAGAUCCAUACAUCCUUCUUCAGCAACUUGUGCCUCUGCUCUGCACCUCCCGCAAUUAACUACUGAAAAAAGAACACAGCUUCACAAAAGAGAUUGUAAAAUCAGGAAGUAUAUCUAAGUCACCUCCAGUAGCCGUAACUCUACCUUGUCCAGUAAAAGGUUGUGAAAGAAAAAUAAAUCUUGGGGCUCCAAAAUCACUACGCUAAAGGGAAUAGUCAAGCUAGGAGCUGCUUACAGCAAACCUGCCUCCCAUUCUAUUCAAAGUCACCCCUCUGCUCAGAGAUAAAUGCGUAUCUGAUUGCCUCCUUUGGAGAGGCCAAUCAGAAACUCAAAAGAAUGCAACUAUUCAUCUCUUAUCUACCUAUGACUUGGAAGCCCACUCCCUGCUUCAAGUUGUCCCACCUUUGCUUCAAGUUGUCCAGCCUUUUCUGGACAGAACCAGUGUUUAUCUUACAUAUAUUGACUGAUGUCUCAUGUCUCUCUAAAACAUAUAAAACCAAGCUGUGCUCUUGAAGUGGCCUCAUCGUCUGGGGUGACACCCGAGGUUCGUUGUCUCACGGCCAUAAAGAUAAAGAACAUGGACACAAAAGGGUGAGGUUUAGAGCAGAAAUUUAAUAGGUGAAAGAAAGUGAACAGCUCUCUGCUACAGAGAGGGGUCCCAGAAAAAUGGGUUGCCGAUUCACAGUUUGGAUACAGAGGCUUUUAUAAGAAAUCAAUAGUGGGCUGCUCAUCUCAUUUGCAAAAGGCAUGCAUUUCUGGUAGUUCCACCCCAUCAUCCUCAUGCACGGGCUCUUAGUUUGAGUUAUUCCAUGUUGUUUUGUUACCCUUACUGCACAUGUGUCAAGGGGUGGAAUUUUCCCUUGCAGGCAUGCCUGGGCAAGUCUCUUAUGUAGUCUUUCUUAUCUGUGUGGCUGUGGGGAUGUCUUAGGCAAGCCCCCUGGGAAAGUUCCCUUAUCUGUGCCUGCAACUUGAUUUUUCAGGCUGUUCUUUUGUUUGAAAGAAUUUAACCAAGGACUCGUCUUAAGAAUCUGCCUAAUCCGUUUCUUCCUUUCUCCUGUCUCACCCUAACCAUCUUGGGCACAAGUCAUCAGAACCUCCUGGGGCUAUGUCAUGGGCACACAUCCUCAACCUUGGCAAAAUAAACUUUCUAAAUUAACUGAAACCUGUCUUUGAGUUUCAGGGUCACAAGGGUAAUGGCCAGCCAAUGUUUUUUGAGCCCUAUAAGGGAAUAGGCAAGUCAGAGAGGAGGUGGAAGAGGUCUCAGCAUUCAGCAUCCAGUCUGCAUGUUUAUUUUUCUGUUUGGGGAUGGUAUUCCCACCCUCAGUCACUAAGGGUUUUCAUAGCCCACAAAACCUCUGUUUUUGCGUCUCCAGAGAAUGAAGUGCAAAUGUCUGCUGAGAUAAAAUCAUGUGGUCAGUUAGUCAAGGUGUUGGAAAGAAUUCUAGGCAUCUAGUUUCUUAAAUAACUUCUGACUGACUCUCUGUAGUUUAAUUCUUCCUUCCAGUUAUUCUGUGAUGUUUGAUGUCCCCCGUUCCUGAACCACCUGGAAAUUCUGUGUAUGGAUUGUGUUGUCUCUUGGCUUUUGUCAUUGCUGAUUUAGGAUUUGGCUUUUUGCUUUUGUUUUGCUUUGUUUUGUUCUUUCCUGAUAGGUCAGUUCAAACUUGUAUAUCUGCUUUUCAGAAUCUAAACGUUUGAUGCUGUUGCCUCCUCUCUGUUCCCUCCAUUCUUGCGGGUUUAUGUCUAGUUAAAAACAAUCCAUUUAUAGUAGUUUCAGCGGGGUUUGUAGAGGGAAGAGAUUAGAUGCAUUUUUACUCUGCCACCUGUAUUCUGAAGUCCUCUCUCUGAACUUUUUGAAAUCUGCUUUUCUAAAGCACAGAGCACAUUCUGGUGAGACCCAGGUCUCCCACCUGAUGAUCACAGUCUCUAAGAGUGCAUGUUCAUCACAUCCCAGAGUUCUUGUCUUUUCUACCGCACUGAAUCUGUUCUCUGUGUUUACUUGUAUUGUAG